rnacentral:tRNA from 1 species
GUUCUUGUAGUUGAAUUACAGCGGCAGUUUUUCAUACUGUUGGUCCAGGUUAGAGUCCUGGCAGGAAUA